CACGUAGGGGGCGAGCGUUGUCCGGAUUUAUUGGGCGGAAAGAGCUCGUAGGCGGCUCAGUAAGUCAGGUGUGAAAACUCCAGGCUCAACCUGGAGACGCCACCUGAUACUGCUGUGGCUAGAGUCCGGUAGGGGAGCAUGGAAUUCCUGGUGUAGCGGUGAAAUGCGCAGAUAUCGAGAGGAACACCAGUGGCGAAGGCGAGUCCCUGGACAACUCCUGACACUGAGGCACGAAAGCUAGGGGAGCAAACAGG
rnacentral:rRNA from 1 species